UACUCCUACGGGAGGCAGCAGUGGGGAAUAUUGGACAAUGGGGGCAACCCUGAUCCAGCAAUGCCGCGUGUGUGAAGAAGGUCUUCGGAUUGUAAAGCACUUUUGGCAGGGACGAUGAUGACGGUACCUGCAGAAUAAGCCCCGGCUAACUUCGUGCCAGCAGCCGCGGUAAUACGAAGGGGGCUAGCGUUGCUCGGAAUGACUGGGCGUAAAGGGCGCGUAGGCGGUUGUUACAGUCAGAAGUGAAAUUCCUGGGCUCAACCUGGGGACUGCUUUUGAUACGUAGCGACUAGAGUAAGGAAGAGGGUUGUGGAAUUUCCAGUGUAGAGGUGAAAUUCGUAGAUAUUGGAAAGAACACCGGUGGCGAAGGCGGCAACCUGGUCCUUUAC
rnacentral:rRNA from 1 species